UACGUAGGGGGCAAGCGUUGUCCGGAAUCAUUGGGCGUAAAGCGCGUGUAGGCGGCUCGAUAAGUCUGCUGUGAAAGUUCAGGGCUCAACCCUGAAAUGCCGGUGGAAACUGUCGGGCUAGAGUCCGGAAGAGGCGAGUGGAAUUCCUGGUGUAGCGGUGAAAUGCGCAGAUAUCAGGAGGAACACCAAUGGCGAAGGCAGAUCUCUGGGCCGUAACUGACGCUGAGGAGCGAAAGCAUGGGGAGCGAACAGG
rnacentral:rRNA from 1 species